rnacentral:rRNA from 1 species
AGUGAACGCUGGCGGCGUGCUUAACACAUGCAAGUCGAACGAGAACGGGAUAUAGCUUGCUAUAUUUGUCAGCUAAGUGGCGCACGGGUGAGUAAUGUAUAGAUAACCUGCCCUCUAGAAAGGAAUAACAGUUGGAAACGACUGCUAAUGCCCUAUAUGCCUUUAAUACAUAAGUAUGCAAGGGAAACGCUUUAGUGCUAGAGGAUGGGUCUGUAUGGUAUCAGCUUGUUGGUGAGGUAAUGGCUCACCAAGGCUAUGACGCCUAACUGGUUUGAGAGGAUGAUCAGUCACACUAGAACUGAGACACGGUCCAGACUCCUACGGGAGGCAGCAGUGGGGAAUAUUGCACAAUGGACGAAAGUCUGAUGCAGCAACGCCGCGUGGAGGAUGACACAUUUCGGUGCGUAAACUCCUUUUAUAUAGGAAGAUAAUGACGGUACUAUAUGAAUAAGCACCGGCUAACUCCGUGCCAGCAGCCGCCGCGG